UCUCAGCACACCCGUGAGACCCUUUACCUUCACCAGGCAAAGGAGCCGGCAUCAGGCACAGACUCUAGCCCACAACACCUAGUCUCACCACACCCCCAAGGGUAUUCAGCAGUGAUAAAUUUUGCGUAUGAGCGCCAGCUCGACUCAGUUAAGGAAAAGAGGGCCGGCUAACCCGGUGCCAGCCGCCGCGGCUACCCCGUAGGGCUCAAGUUGAUAAUCGUCGGCGUUAAGCGUGAUUAAAGUUUCUACAAAUUAAGGUUAAAUUAAUACUUAGUAGUUUUAAGCUUGUUAUUAAGAAGAACACACACGAAAGUUACCCUAAUUAUACUUGAACCCACGACAACUGGGACACAAACUGGGAUUAGAUACCCCACUAUGCCUAGUCGUAAACAAUCAAUUUACACCAACCAGCGCCAGGGAAUUACGAGCCUUGCUUAAAACCCAAAGGACUUGACGGUUUCCCACCCCCCUAGAGGAGCCUGUUCUUUAAUCGAUGACCCCCGCUAUACCUAACCACCCCUCGCUAUCAGUCUGUAUACCUCCGUCGAAAGCUUACCAUAUGAAUGCUUCAGUAAGCCUAAUGAUUCAACACGUCAGGUCAAGGUGCAGCUUAAGGAGUGGGAAGUGAUGGGCUACAAUUUCUAAACUAGAACAAACGAAAGACCAGAUGAAAUCCUGGUCAUGAAGGCGGAUUUAGUAGUAAAAAGAAAAUAGAGUGUUCUUUUUAACAUGGCUCUGGGACGCGUA
rnacentral:rRNA from 1 species